UCCAGGUGCUGCAGAGAGCUGAACACUUUGAGGGCUUCAUCCUGCAGCGUUGUGUAGCUUCUGUUUCUCGGAGCUGAGCAGAGCAGAGGGAGGAGGGUAGCGGCAGCAGUGGCGAGUGCAGCGGAUGGUGGCUGUAGCGAAGGAUGGGGUUCCUCUUGUAGAUCUGUUCCACCACCUCUGAGUUCAGACAGUUCUCCUGCAGAGAGCAGAGGGGUCUGACUUUAAUACAACGCUCUGCUGAUGAUCUGAGGUUUGGAGACCGGUUGCUCUAAACACUAUGUUUUAUCCUUAGCUGCUGGUGAGAACUACGACGACAUGGAGCUUCUACACAGGUCUCCUACCUUGAUGUCCUGGAUGAGCUGCUGGGUCGGCGUGUCGAUUGGAGCUUUGGUGUCGAUGACGUUCUGGAUGG